rnacentral:rRNA from 1 species
UACGUAGGCAGCAAGCGUUGUUCGGAGUUACUGGGCGUAAAGGGUGUGUAGGCGGUUCUUUAAGUUUGGUGUGAAAUCUCCCGGCUCAACCGGGAGGGUGCGCCGAAUACUGAGGGACUAGAGUGUGGGAGAGGAAAGUGGAAUUCCUGGUUUAGCGGUGAAAUGCGUAGAUAUCAGGAGGAACACCGGUGGUGUAGACGGCUUUCUGGACCAUAACUGACGCUGAGACACGAAAGCGUGGGUAGCAAACAGG